rnacentral:rRNA from 1 species
AUUGAACGCUGGCGGCAUGCCUUACACAUGCAAGUCGAACGGCAGCACGGGUGCUUGCACCUGGUGGCGAGUGGCGAACGGGUGAGUAAUACAUCGGAACAUGUCCUGUAGUGGGGGAUAGCCCGGCGAAAGCCGGAUUAAUACCGCAUACGAUCUACGGAUGACAGCGGGGGACCUUCGGGCCUCGCGCUAUAGGGUUGGCCGAUGGCUGAUUAGCUAGUUGGUGGGGUAAAGGCCUACCAAGGCGACGAUCAGUAGCUGGUCUGAGAGGACGACCAGCCGCACGGGGACUGAGACACGGCCCAGACGCCUACGGGAGGCAGCAGUGGGGAAUUUUGGACAAUGGGCGAAAGCCUGAUCCAGCAAUGCCGCGUGUGUGAAGAAGGCCUUCGGGUUGUGAAGCACGUUUGUCCGGAAAGAAAUCCUUGGCCCUAAUACGGUCGGGGGAUGACGGUACCGGAAGAAUAAGCACCAGCUAACUACGUG